rnacentral:rRNA from 1 species
GACGAACGCUGGCGGCGUGCUUAACACAUGCAAGUCGAACGGAAAGGCCCUGCUUUUGUGGGGUGCUCGAGUGGCGAACGGGUGAGUAACACGUGAGUAACCUGCCCUUGACUUUGGGAUAACUUCAGGAAACUGGGGCUAAUACCGGAUAGGAGCUCCUGCUGCAUGGUGGGGGUUGGAAAGUUUCGGCGGUUGGGGAUGGACUCGCGGCUUAUCAGCGUGUUGGUGGGGUAGUGGCUUACCAAGGCCUUGACGGGUAGCCGGCCUGAGAGGGUGACCGGCCACAUUGGGACUGAGAUACGGCCCAGACUCCUACGGGAGGCAGCAGUGGGGAAUAUUGCACAAUGGGCGGAAGCCUGAUGCAGCAACGCCGCGUGCGGGAUGACGGCCUUCGGGUUGUAAACCGCUUUCGCCUGUGACGAAGCGUGAGUGACGGUAAUGGGUAAAGAAGCACCGGCUAACUACGUG